CGUUACCCAGUGUGUAUUUAGUCUCUGUGCUUCCUCCCUUUUCUCUAUCUAGUUCCAGUGCUCCUCAUGAUUUCCCUCUUGUGUUUUCAGUUGGACUUGUUGGAUUUAAUUUGCUUGGCCUUUAAACAUGAAGCCAAAAUACCAUCUCAAUGUGCAGGCAUAUUGCACUGGAGGAGCUCAGGCAUACGUUAAAGCGAUUUGGCUGGUGGAGCUGCAGGAGCUACACCACACCCGUAAAGAUCCCUCAGUUGACCGGAUGAGACUCCCGCUAGAUGGCGUCAGCUAUACUAAAGGAGACUCCACUUAAGCCUCACCGGGGGUAGCACUACACCGACAUGAUCCUACAAGCAGACUUUGCAGAUCGAGAAAAAAACAGCAGACUUUACAAGGCUCCCGCGCUGACUCUGCACUUCUCCCACGGGAUUUAAGGGUUUUAAACUAUGCCGCAGUCACAUCCAAGCGUGAUCCCCCCUUAGCCUCUCUAACAGCUCAGCCAGCUCUUAUUUCACAUCACGUUCCCCCCACGGGGCGACUGUAAACAAGCCUUGGGCGUCACUCCACCCCGACGCGAGCUUCCUGACAGAGAGGAAGACAGCCGCUAGACAGACGGCGUUCUCCACUGGGGGAAAAGGAAAACAGCCGAGCUCUGAGAAGUACAUCACCACCAGCAUCCCUUCAGAAGCAGCCUUUUGUACACCACUGAUAAGAGGUUUCUCAUGCAUGGGGUUGACACACGCAUGGAAUCUACACGGAGGCAAUGAAGGCAUGCCUCUUGCGGUUUGAAGAUGCAACAGAAAAAAGAUAGCGUUUGAUCCAAUUUAUUUUAAAUCCAUGUUUUUAAGACAGUCUCUCACAUAUUUGUAGUCUGUGUAGAAAGUGUCAGGUCGUCUCAUCCCCCCAGAGUAAGAGGAGGGAAAUGUUAAAAAUAGAAUAAAGAAGGCAGUAGCCACACCAGAAUUCCUUUAAGAUCUGUUUCAAAAACAGGUUCAUGCCAAAAGUUUAUAUUUUGAGCUCACACAAAUUUCACUUUCAGCUUUUGAGAGAAGAUGAUGGAGGAGUUGUUCAUAGGGAGUAUUCUGUGUAAAUCCUUGUAAGCUCUGUCUUUUUCUCACUGACACACAGACUCUACCGUUUCACCUUCGAUGCACUGGUCCAUUCAGGCCACUCUGCCCGAAGGACAUUAACUUUCUCUCCUUCACUUUCUCUAAAUCUUAUAUUUCACACAGUGAGAGACAGUCCAAAAGCUCGACGGUGCUGUCACUCAAGAAGUCCAGAAAGCCUUUAAAGUACAUUUUCAGACUCACUCUCUUAGUUUUUUUCUCCUCCAUUGGGCCAUUUUUUAAAUGUACUUUGAGAUAACACUGUCACAGUUUCAAAGAUGCACUGUUUUAUUACCAACAAAUCAUUUCCUCAUAAAAAUUGAGUAAAAAGCUUUGCAGGCUGAAAACAUUUAGAGGACAGCAAGGACACACUGUACAGCUAGUCAUCCAAUUUCAUAUUCAGCCUUCAAUUCUCACUUUUCAUAAAACAUAAGGGGAUAAUUUCACUUGACUGUCUGUCUCUCUCUUUUUCUUCACUUUGUUUCAGACUGACUGACAUGAGUAUAAAGGAGACAGAAUUUUAUUUAACUAUGUCCAAUGGCUCAUCCAGUUUGAGAAAGGUGUUGUUGAUAUUUAUAACUAUCCAAGAUUACAGACCAGAGACACCAGUUAGAUAAGCAAAUCUGCAACAGAAGCUACUCAACAUGUGUGCAGAACUAACAGAAUUAUGUCAUAAUACCAACUUUGAUUAUUGCAACUCCCUGUUCUUCAGCAUCAACACAAUGUCUAUUCACCAUUCACAUCUGGUGAGAAUUCUGCUGACAGACUCCUGCAGUCAUAAAAAUCCCUUCCUCAUUCAUAAGAGUUCCUGAUAAGAUUCUUUUGUUUAUUUGUAAAGCCCUGCACCGUCUCACCGCAACUUAGGUUACAGAACUCCCAUCCCCACACGGUUGAACCCCUCAGAUCCUCAGAUCAAGGCCUGUUAACAUCCUCACUCAAAGCAGAAAACAUCAAGGACACACAAGAUUCUCUUUGGUGUUGCACCAAGACUAACAACACACAAAGAAAGGAAAGUGCUGAUGGAAGCAAGGUGAAACCCCAAUCAGAAUUACCAGUAAAGCACAGCUGCUUCAUCCUCAUGCUCCAAUCAUGACUCUUCACCUCUGCCACACCAGCUGUAAUGCUCUUCAAAGCCACCGGCUCUGUCAAAGAGCAGAGGCACCAGGGAGGUAGUGUGCUCUGUACAUUUGCUGCUCAAAGUAGUGCAAUAGGUUUGCUACAGCUGGCUCCAUUUAGGACCUCUUCUUUCAUGUUUUUCUGUGUCUGACACUCUUUUUUAACAGAGAAUACUAAUGGUUUACUGUGUUGAGGGUAACCGACCGCAACUUUUUAUCAAAGUACAGCUUCUGAAAUAUUCUGUACGUCCAAAAAGGAGAGAAUUUUCUUGAGUCAGUUAUAAAUUAGCCUGCAUUCUUACUGAUUUUAGAUUUGAAUCUUCUGUUCCUUGGAAAUUGGCUCUUCAUCCUCAUCAAUAUUUUUUCUUGUUUGUGAGUCAGAUCAAGACAAAAAAUAUUAAAUGAUUCUUUGGUCUGCGCUUCACUCUUUAACAAAGUUGAAUAAAAAAGCCAAGUACUGAGGAUGAUACUAAAUCAAAUAAAUUUGAUUUUGGACAUCCUCAGGUUGGCAUGCAUUGCUUUACAUUGUUAGUGUGGACUAAAAACUGUUUUAAAAUGGAGAAUAAUAGAAUUUUAAAUGUAAUGAAAAAUGCAAUUAAUCCUGAUUAUCGAAAUUCAGCAAGUAAUCAUGACUUAAUGAAAUAUCAUUUGACAGCCCUGCUUUUAUCACAAAAAGAAGUACGAUUAGUAUAUAAAUGUUGUGUUUGACAACUUGUAGAUUAAACUAACCAACAGGAAAAAUAUCUUUUAACAUUAGAUCAACCUUCUCCUGCUGCACCAUUUAGAUACUGACAUUUAUUUAUUUAUUUUUGAACUUUGAAUUUGUUAUUAUUUUUCAAUUGACACACAAGAAGCACACAUACAGUAGAUGUAUUACACUUACACUUGUUAUUCUGAAAUAUCUCUAAUGAGACGAUUUCCUACAUCUAAAAUCUUUCUCAUUACAUUCUUGUCCUAUUUUACAAUAUACACACAGGUUAUAGUGUAAAUUACACAUGUGUAUUCAGGGUAAAAUUGAACUGAAAUUAAAUGAAAUCAAAUAAAGAAAGAAAAUUCAAGAGGUGGCUAGAGCUCAAGUAACGCCUGAAUCACUGGUGCCCAUGUUUUGAGAAACUAAUUUGUUUUCAGCUGCAACCUUGCUGUGAUUUUCUCCAUGAUAAAGACAGCUUUAACUCUGCCCCUCCAUUGUGUAAUGCUGUCAUGUAGUGGAUUUAACCAGAAUGUUGUUCAUGGUUUUUAGCUAUUGAAAGAACAACUCUUAGUAGGGACAUUAAAUAUCUGUCAUUAAUAUUAUCCUGACAUUCAUUUUUGACAUGAAUGCAUCAAUUAAAAUGUU